AGAGUUUGAUCCUGGCUCAGGAUGAACGCUAGCUACAGGCUUAACACAUGCAAGUCGAGGGGCAGCAUGGGGCAGCAAUGUCCCGAUGGCGACCGGCGCACGGGUGAGUAACGCGUAUCCAACCUGCCCAUGGCUCGGGCAUAGCCCGCCGAAAGGCGGAUUAACUCCCGAUGACGCUGUCAGAGAGCAUUCGGCGACAGCUAAAGUUCACGGCCAUGGAUGGGGAUGCGUCCGAUUAGCUUGUUGGCGGGGUAACGGCCCACCAAGGCGACGAUCGGUAGGGGUUCUGAGAGGAAGGUCCCCCACAUUGGAACUGAGACACGGUCCAAACUCCUACGGGAGGCAGCAGUGAGGAGUAUUGGUCAAUGGCCGGGAGGCUGAACCAGCCAAGUAGCGUGCAGGACGACGGCCCUACGGGUUGUAAACUGCUUUUGCGGGAGGAUAAAGUGCGUUACGUGUAAUGCAUUGCAGGUAUCCCGCGAAUAAGGACCGGCUAAUUCCGUGCCAGCAGCCGCGGUAAUACGGAAGGUCCGGGCGUUAUCCGGAUUUAUUGGGUUUAAAGGGAGCGUAGGCCGCCUGGUAAGCGUGCUGUGAAAUGCGACGGCUCAACCGUCGCCGUGCAGCGCGAACUGCUGGGCUUGAGUGCGCUGAAAGCGGGCGGAAUUUGUGGUGUAGCGGUGAAAUGCUCAGAUAUCACGAAGAACCCCGAUUGCGAAGGCAGCCCGCUGUGGCGUUACUGACGCUGAGGCUCGAAAGCGCGGGUAUCGAACAGGAUUAGAUACCCUGGUAGUCCGCGCGGUAAACGAUGGAUGCCCGCUGUUGGCUAUUCGUAGUCAGCGGCCAAGCGAAAGCGUUAAGCAUCCCACCUGGGGAGUACGCCGGCAACGGUGAAACUCAAAGGAAUUGACGGGGGCCCGCACAAGCGGAGGAACAUGUGGUUUAAUUCGAUGAUACGCGAGGAACCUUACCCGGGCUUGAAUUGCAGGAGAACGCGGUGGAGACACCAAGGCCCUUCGGGGUUCCUGUGAAGGUGCUGCAUGGUUGUCGUCAGCUCGUGCCGUGAGGUGUCGGCUUAAGUGCCAUAACGAGCGCAACCCCUCUGCGUAGUUGCCAUCGGGUGAUGCCGGGCACUCUGCGCACACUGCCGCCGCAAGGCGUGAGGAAGGUGGGGAUGACGUCAAAUCAGCACGGCCCUUACGUCUGGGGCUACACACGUGUUACAAUGGCGAGUACAGAGAGUCGGCCGGGCGCAAGCCCGGUCCAAUCAUCAAAGCUCGCCGUAGUUCGGACUGGGGUCUGCAACCCGACCCCACGAAGCUGGAUUCGCUAGUAAUCGCGCAUCAGCCAUGGCGCGGUGAAUACGUUCCCGGGCCUUGCACACACCGCCCGUCA
rnacentral:rRNA from 1 species